GAGGAAAAGAAACUAACAAGGAUUGCCCUAGUAGCUGCGAGUGAAUAGGCAAAAGCUCAAAAUUGGAAUCUUGCCGGACAUACUGGUGAGAAUUGUAAUCUAGAGGAGUAUUCGGAAGGAUACGGUUCUGGUAUAAGUUCCUUGGAACAGGACGCCAAAGAGGGUGACAGCCCCGUAACUGGCCAGAAACCAUCCGUAACGAGUGCUUUCGAAGAGUCGGGUUGUUUGGGACUGCAGCCUUAAUCGGGGGAUAAACUUCCUCCAAAGCUAAAUAUUUUAUGGGAAACCGAUAGCGAACA
rnacentral:rRNA from 1 species